GGGGCUGAUUCUGGAUUCGACGGGAUUUGCGAAACCCAAGGUGCAUGCCGAGGGGCGGUUGGCCUCGUAAAAAGCCGCAAAAAAUAGUCGCAAACGACGAAAACUACGCUUUAGCAGCUUAAUAACCUGCUUAGAGCCCUCUCUCCCUAGCCUCCGCUCUUAGGACGGGGAUCAAGAGAGGUCAAACCCAAAAGAGAUCGCGUGGAAGCCCUGCCUGGGGUUGAAGCGUUAAAACUUAAUCAGGCUAGUUUGUUAGUGGCGUGUCCGUCCGCAGCUGGCAAGCGAAUAUAAAGACUGACUAAGCAUGUAGUACCGAGGAUGUAGG
rnacentral:tmRNA from 1 species